rnacentral:lncRNA from 1 species
UUUUGGCAAGCUCCUGGACUUCUCGGAUUUGUUCCCACAGAACCUCCGAUGAUCGUCUGGACUUCCGUCGAACUCUCGAACUCCCAACGUGAUCAUAGUCUUGACUCUGGUGCAACUCCUACUGCAUGUCUUACUCCCAUCAUAGUUAAUUCUGCACAUGUAAAACAAAACUUCGAUCGAGACAAUUAAUCCUAAGCAAUUAACCAAGUUGUCCGGCAUGUCAUUGGUCCCUCGACGCUUUGUCUGAUUCUUCGG